CUACCCAUUGGGCACAUGCUUGUGCGGCGUUGAUAUGUCUGGUAUUCUUGGGUUGGGUCUUCGUCAACCAGUAUCUCAGACGUAUCAUCGUUGUGCAUUGCGCCGUGCAUCGUCACUUG
rnacentral:pre_miRNA from 9 species